GAUGAACGCUGGCGGCGUGCCUAAUACAUGCAAGUCGAGCGAACAGAUGAGGAGCUCGCUCCUCUGACGUUAGCGGCGGACGGGUGAGUAACACGUGGCUAACCUACCUAUAAGACUGGGAUAACUUCGGGAAACCGGAGCUAACACCGGAUAAUAUAUUGAACCGCAGGGUUCAUUAGUCCACAACGGUUUUGCUGUCACUUAUUGAUGUAUCCGCGCCGCAUUAGUUAGUUGGUAAGGUAACGGCUUACCAAGGCAACGAUGCGUAGCCGACCUGAGAGGGUGAUCGGCCACACUGGAACUGAGACACGGUCCAGACUCCUACGGGAGGCAGCAGUAGGGAAUCUUCCGCAAUGGGCGAAAGCCUGACGGAGCAACGCCGCGUGAGUGAUGAAGGUCUUCGGAUCGUAAAACUCUGUUAUUAGGGAAGAACAAAUGUGUAAGUAACUAUGCACGUCUUGACGGUACCUAAACAGAAAGCAACGGCUAACUACGUG
rnacentral:rRNA from 1 species